UUGGUUCUCCCUGAUGCGGUCGCGUGCUGCUGUUGCUGCUUGCCGGGCGCCUUUAACAUGUUUUCGGCUCGCUUUGUCUGUGCGUGUGUGCGCGCUCGCGCUCGGCUCGAUUUGUGUGUGUGCGUGCGCUCAGCUCAGCUCGCUUUGUGUGUGUGUGUGUGUGUGUGUGUGUGUGUCUGUGCAUGCAUGCGUGCGUCUUGCGCGCGCAUACAUGCCGGUUUGUAUGGGCCGGCGUGCUUGCGUGUGUCUAGUGCGUACGUGUUUUGUGAGCGUGUUUCUGUGUGGGUCACUGUGUGUGCGUGCACGUGUUAGCGUGUCUGCCUGCAUGUAUGUGUGAUUGUGUUUAUCAAUGUGCGCGUGCGUGCCUUUGUGUCUGCGCUUUGAGAGUGUGUAUAUUUGUGUGCGCGCGAGUGCGUUUUGUGUGCGUGCGUAUGUAUUGCAUAAGGCCGGUAGAGUUUUACUCGCAAUAAAACUCUUCCAAUUUGGUGCAGCGAGUGUUGCCGCCUGAAAGCCGAGUUCGGUUUCAAGCCAACCUGGACAACUGCUGUAUGAGGCGCUGUUUCUCAGGAGGAUCAGUGGGAAGGCGUCAGGUCAUGCAGAUGAUAGCAUCAAUUUCACAAUGCCCAGCCUUGGUGCCCUCCGUUAAGAGCAAGCCACUUGCGUUCGCCUUCAGGCAGAUGGUUGAUGUCUUCUAGGAAGCAGUUGGGAAGACUACAUUGAUGCAAGAUUCCAGCAAUGCCAUGCGCUGCAUUUAUUGGUCAGGAUGCUCAGAGAAUGGAGUCCCUGCACCUCGUGGUGAAACGUGAACAUUUUCUUUCUUUUGGAAAGCUAAACGUCAUUUGCUGUAUCAAUUGCAUUCUUGCAGCUCAGAUGUGUACUAUAUUUUUUCUAAUUUUGAAUCAAUUAAUAUUCACUGUUCAGUGUAAAAAUGACGUACAGUGUGAAGGACAAGGACUGCGAGAGAUGACAUACACUGCGCUGACUUCCAACAAUAUUUUAUUGCGUUGCCACAUCGUGUGUUUAUACACAAGAAGGGCCAUGCGCAGGAAAUGAAAGGCAGUCACAAGGGGUGUUCUAACAGCAAGUCAUUGUACUAAGAACAUGGUCACUAAAAAAAAAAAUCACAAUUUCUAUCUGUGGAGAUACAAGACUUCACUAGGGGUCAGCAUGAUAGAGGGGGCACUAACGCACACACUACCCAUUUUUCUGGUGAAAUAAGCAUCAAUAAUGUACCGGGUGAGCUGUGUUUCGCUAGAACUUGCGUAUCUUCAAAGAGGGGCAUGCAGCGGCAGUCCCGGCAAUGAAUGCCCAAGUGGCCUUGAACAGUGUUAUGGACGUUAUAGUGCACUUUUAAACGAUCAUUUAGGCACCUGCCUGUCCGUCCAACAUAUUUACUGCCUCAAAACGGGAAUAUGGUAAACCACAUUCGUUACACAUAUCGCAAAACGUUUUCU